ensembl:misc_RNA Metazoa_SRP Metazoan signal recognition particle RNA
GCCAGGCAUGGUGACGCAUGCCUGUAGUCCCAGCUACUUGGGAGGCUGAGGUGAGUGGAUCACUUGAGCCCAGGGGUUCUGGGAUGUAGUGCGCUAUGCUUAUCAGUUAUCUGUACUAAGUUGGGCAUCAAUAUGGUAACCUCCCCAGAGCGGGAGACCACCAGGUUGCCCAAGGAGGGGUAAACCAGCCCAGAUUGGAAACUGAGCAGGUCAAAAUUCCCAUGCUGAUCAGUAGUGGGACUGCACCUGUGAAUAGCCACUGCAUUCCAGCCUGGGCAACAUAGCGAGACCCUGUCUCAA